rnacentral:tRNA from 1 species
UGGGGCAUAGCUCAGUGGUAGAGCAUGUGGUUAGCAUGUGCAAGGUCCUGGGUUCAAUCCUCAGUACUUCCA